AACGCUGGCGGCGUGCCUAAUACAUGCAAGUCGAGCGGACAGAUGGGAGCUUGCUCCCUGAUGUUAGCGGCGGACGGGUGAGUAACACGUGGGUAACCUGCCUGUAAGACUGGGAUAACUCCGGGAAACCGGGGCUAAUACCGGAUGCUUGUUUGAACCGCAUGGUUCAAACAUAAAAGGUGGCUUCGGCUACCACUUACAGAUGGACCCGCGGCGCAUUAGCUAGUUGGUGAGGUAAUGGCUCACCAAGGCAACGAUGCGUAGCCGACCUGAGAGGGUGAUCGGCCACACUGGGACUGAGACACGGCCCAGACUCCUACGGGAGGCAGCAGUAGGGAAUCUUCCGCAAUGGACGAAAGUCUGACGGAGCAACGCCGCGUGAGUGAUGAAGGUUUUCGGAUCGUAAAGCUCUGUUGUUAGGGAAGAACAAGUGCCGUUCGAAUAGGGCGGCACCUUGACGGUACCUAACCAGAAAGCCACGGCUAACUACGUGCCAGCAGCCGCGGUAAUACGUAGGUGGCAAGCGUUGUCCGGAAUUAUUGGGCGUAAAGGGCUCGCAGGCGGUUUCUUAAGUCUGAUGUGAAAGCCCCCGGCUCAACCGGGGAGGGUCAUUGGAAACUGGGGAACUUGAGUGCAGAAGAGGAGAGUGGAAUUCCACGUGUAGCGGUGAAAUGCGUAGAGAUGUGGAGGAACACCAGUGGCGAAGGCGACUCUCUGGUCUGUAACUGACGCUGAGGAGCGAAAGCGUGGGGAGCGAACAGGAUUAGAUACCCUGGUAGUCCACGCCGUAAACGAUGAGUGCUAAGUGUUAGGGGGUUUCCGCCCCUUAGUGCUGCAGCUAACGCAUUAAGCACUCCGCCUGGGGAGUACGGUCGCAAGACUGAAACUCAAAGGAAUUGACGGGGGCCCGCACAAGCGGUGGAGCAUGUGGUUUAAUUCGAAGCAACGCGAAGAACCUUACCAGGUCUUGACAUCCUCUGACAAUCCUAGAGAUAGGACGUCCCCUUCGGGGGCAGAGUGACAGGUGGUGCAUGGUUGUCGUCAGCUCGUGUCGUGAGAUGUUGGGUUAAGUCCCGCAACGAGCGCAACCCUUGAUCUUAGUUGCCAGCAUUCAGUUGGGCACUCUAAGGUGACUGCCGGUGACAAACCGGAGGAAGGUGGGGAUGACGUCAAAUCAUCAUGCCCCUUAUGACCUGGGCUACACACGUGCUACAAUGGACAGAACAAAGGGCAGCGAAACCGCGAGGUUAAGCCAAUCCCACAAAUCUGUUCUCAGUUCGGAUCGCAGUCUGCAACUCGACUGCGUGAAGCUGGAAUCGC
rnacentral:rRNA from 1 species